rnacentral:rRNA from 1 species
CCUACGGGUGGCAGCAGUGAGGAAUAUUGGUCAAUGGCCGGAAGGCUGAACCAGCCAUGCCGCGUGAAGGUCAGUGCCCUAUGGGCGUUAAACUUCUGUUGUGCGGGAGCAAUAAUGGUCACGUGUGGCCAGACGAGAGUACCGUACGAAUAAGCAUCGGCUACCUCCGUGCCAGCAGCCGCGGUAAUACGGGGGAUGCAAGCGUUAUCCGGAUUGAUUGUGUUUAAAGGGUGCGUAGGCUGUGAGGUAAGUCAGCGGUGAAAUGCCCCCGCUCAACGGGGUGAAGUGCCAUUGAUACUGCCUGGCUGGAAUGCGGAUGCCGUGGGAGGAAUGUGUGGUGUAGCGGUGAAAUGCAUAGAUAUCACACAGAACACCGAUUGCGAAGGCAUCUCACGAAUCCGCGAUUGACGCUGAUGCACGAAAGCGUGGGUAUCAAACAGGAUUAGAUACCCUGGUAGUC